UAGUCCACGCCGUAAACGAUGUCAACUAGCCGUUGGGAGCCUUGAGCUCUUAGUGGCUCAGCCAACGCAUUAAGUUGCCCGCCUGGGGAGUACGGCCGCAAGGUUAAAACUCAAAUGAAUUGACGGGGGCCCGCACAAGCGGUGGAGCAUGUGGUUUAAUUAGAAGCAACGCGAAGAACCUUACCAGGCCUUGACAUCCAAUGAACUUUCCAGAGAUGGAUUGGUGCUUUGGGGAACAUUUAAACAGGUGUUGCAUGGCGGUAGUCACCUUUCGUCCCGAGAUGUUGGGUUAAGUCCCGUAAAGAGCGCAACCCUUGUCCUUAGUUACCAGCUCGUAAUGGUGGGCCCUUUAAGGAGACUGCCGGUGACAAACCGGAGGAAGGUGGGGAUGAGGUCAAGUCAUCCUGGCCCUUUCGGCCUGGGCUACACACGUGCUACAAUGGUCGGUACAGAGGGUUGCCAAGCCGCGAGGUGGAGCUAAUCCCAGAAAACCGAUCGUAGUCCGGAUCCCAGUCUUCAACUCGUUUGUGUGAAGUCGGAAUCGCUAGUAAUCGCGAAUCAGAAUGUCGCGGUGAAUACGUUCCCGGCCCUUGUACACACCGCCCGCCCCCCCAUGGGAGUGGGCUGCCCCAGACAGUAGCUAGUCUAAC
rnacentral:rRNA from 1 species